rnacentral:rRNA from 1 species
GAUGAACGCUAGCGAUAGGCCUAACACAUGCAAGUCGAGGGGCAUCACAUGAAGUAGCAAUACGGAUGGUGGCGACCGGCGCACGGGUGAGUAACACGUAUGCAACCUGCCUUCAACAAGGGGAUAACCCGUUGAAAGACGGACUAAUACCCUAUAACACAGGGGUCCCGCAUGGGGAAUAUUUGUUAAAGGACAACCGGUUGAAGAUGGGCAUGCGUUCCAUUAGCUAGUUGGCGGGGUAACGGCCCACCAAGGCAACGAUGGAUAGGGGAACUGAGAGGUUUAUCCCCCACACUGGUACUGAGACACGGACCAGACUCCUACGGGAGGCAGCAGUGAGGAAUAUUGGUCAAUGGACGCAAGUCUGAACCAGCCACGCCGCGUGAAGGAAGAAGGCUUUCGGGUUGUAAACUUCUUUUGGCAGGGAACGAACAUAAUGACGGUACCUGCAGAAUAAGCUCCGGCUAACUACGUGCCAGCAGCCGCGGUAAGUCACACUACA